rnacentral:rRNA from 1 species
UACGUAGGGGGCAAGCGUUGUCCGGAUUUACUGGGCGUAAAGAGCGUGUAGGCGGCCAUACAGGUCCGUUGUGAAAACUGGAGGCUCAACUUCCAGACGUCGACGGAAACCGUGCGGCUAGAGUCCGGAAGAGGAGAGUGGAAUUCCUGGUGUAGCGGUGAAAUGCGCAGAUAUCAGGAAGAACACCAAUGGCGAAGGCAGCUCUCUGGGACGGUACUGACGCUGAGACGCGAAAGCGUGGGGAGCGAACAGG